rnacentral:lncRNA from 1 species
UAAUUGAGUUACAGUAAUUUAAACAAUAUAAAAUGUUAAGUUUCAGGCAAUAGGUCUUAUAUGAUAUGUAUCUUAUGUAUAUCUUGUAUUUUGCAGCAUCUUAAAGAAUAUUUCAGCACGGUGCACUCUGACUGUUUACAAUAUUUGCAUAUUGAUAUGAGUAAAAGUGACUUCAGCAACCAGAAUGUGUUUUUAAUAAAUAUUAAUAAUAACAGUAACUAAAGGAAUGUUAUCAAUUUAUUAUAUGAAUCAUAAGCAUGUGCUUAUCUAUUACAAGUACCUUUGAUGGUAAAAAUUACAUUUUUUAUCUGAAGAGAGUUGGGAGAAAUUGUAAGAGUUUUAUAACAUAUUAAAAUUAAUGUAUGUGUUACCAAUAAAAUUUAAAACUAACAGUUAAACUUAAUUUUUUACAGUUCAUAUUAAAACGAGACAUUGUGUAAAGAGGUUUUCAAAGAAGUCGUUUUAACAACAAUGGAAAAGCUUCCGAUUCCCGAGAUAAACGUGAAAGCAUUUGAUACAUGAUUAAAGAAUCGUUCAAAAGUUUGCUUAAUUUUGACAGUGUAAUUUUAAUUACUAUUUUUUUUGAAAUAAA